UACGUAGGCAGCGAGCGUUGUUCGGAGGUUACUGGGCGUAAAGGGUGUGUAGGCGGUUGCUUAAGUUUGGUGUGAAAUCUCCCGGCUCAACUGGGAGGGUGCGCCGAAUACUGAGUGACUCGAGUGCGGGAGAGGAGAGUGGAAUUCCUGGUGUAGCGGUGAAAUGCGUAGAUAUCAGGAGGAACACCGGUGGUGGUAGACGGCUCUCUGGACCGUAACUGGACGCUGAGACACGAAAGCGUGGGUAGCAAACAGG
rnacentral:rRNA from 1 species